UGGGGAAUAUUGCACAAUGGGCGCAAGCCUGAUGCAGCCAUGCCGCGUGUGUGAAGAAGGCCUUCGGGUUGUAAAGCACUUUCAGCGAGGAGGAAGGUGAUGAGCUUAAUACGCUCAUCAAUUGACGUUACUCGCAGAAGAAGCACCGGCUAACUCCGUGCCAGCAGCCGCGGUAAUACGGAGGGUGCAAGCGUUAAUCGGAAUUACUGGGCGUAAAGCGCACGCAGGCGGUUUGUUAAGUCAGAUGUGAAAUCCCCGGGCUCAACCUGGGAACUGCAUUUGAAACUGGCAAGCUAGAGUCUCGUAGAGGGGGGUAGAAUUCCAGGUGUAGCGGUGAAAUGCGUAGAGAUCUGGAGGAAUACCGGUGGCGAAGGCGGCCCCCUGGACGAAGACUGACGCUCAGGUGCGAAAGCGUGGGGAGCAAACA
rnacentral:rRNA from 1 species